AUUGAACGCUGGCGGCAGGCCUAACACAUGCCAGUCGAGCGGUAACAGGAAGAAGCUUGCUUCUUUGCUGACGAGUGGCGGACGGGUGAGUAAUGUCUGGGAAACUGCCUGAUGGAGGGGGAUAACUACUGGAAACGGUAGCUAAUACCGCAUAACGUCGCAAGACCAAAGAGGGGGACCUUCGGGCCUCUUGCCAUCGGAUGUGCCCAGAUGGGAUUAGCUAGUAGGUGGGGUAACGGCUCACCUAGGCGACGAUCCCUAGCUGGUCUGAGAGGAUGACCAGCCACACUGGAACUGAGACACGGUCCAGACUCCUACGGGAGGCAGCAGUGGGGAAUAUUGCACAAUGGGCGCAAGCCUGAUGCAGCCAUGCCGCGUGUAUGAAGAAGACCUUCGGGUUGUAAAGUACUUUCAGCGGGGAGGAAGGGAGUAAAGUUAAUACCUUUGCUCAUUGACGUUACCCGCAGAAGAAGCACCGGCUAACUCCGUG
rnacentral:rRNA from 1 species